rnacentral:rRNA from 1 species
AGAGUUUGAUCCUGGCUCAGGAUGAACGCUAGCUACAGGCUUAACACAUGCAAGUCGAGGGGAAACGAUAUUGGAAGCUUGCUUCCGAUAGGCGUCGACCGGCGCACGGGUGAGUAACGCGUAUCCAACCUGCCCACCACUUGGGGAUAACCUUGCGAAAGUAAGACUAAUACCCAAUGACGUCUCUAGAAGACAUCUGAAGGAGAUUAAAGAUUUAUCGGUGAUGGAUGGGGAUGCGUCUGAUUAGCUUGUUGGCGGGGUAACGGCCCACCAAGGCAACGAUCAGUAGGGGUUCUGAGAGGAAGGUCCCCCACAUUGGAACUGAGACACGGUCCAAACUCCUACGGGAGGCAGCAGUGAGGAAUAUUGGUCAAUGGGCGAGAGCCUGAACCAGCCAAGUAGCGUGCAGGAAGACGGCCCUAUGGGUUGUAAACUGCUUUUAUAAGGGAAUAAAGUUAGUCUCGUGAGACUUUUUGCAUGUACCUUAUGAAUAAGGACCGGCUAAUUCCGUGCCAGCAGCCGCGGUAAUACGGAAGGUCCGGGCGUUAUCCGGAUUUAUUGGGUUUAAAGGGAGCGUAGGCCGGAGAUUAAGCGUGUUGUGAAAUGUAGACGCUCAACGUCUGCACUGCAGCGCGAACUGGUUUCCUUGAGUACGCACAAAGUGGGCGGAAUUCGUGGUGUAGCGGUGAAAUGCUUAGAUAUCACGAAGAACUCCGAUUGCGAAGGCAGCUCACUGGAGCGCAACUGACGCUGAAGCUCGAAAGUGCGGGUAUCGAACAGGAUUAGAUACCCUGGUAGUCCGCACGGUAAACGAUGGAUGCCCGCUGUUGGUCUGAACAGGUCAGCGGCCAAGCGAAAGCAUUAAGCAUCCCACCUGGGGAGUACGCCGGCAACGGUGAAACUCAAAGGAAUUGACGGGGGCCCGCACAAGCGGAGGAACAUGUGGUUUAAUUCGAUGAUACGCGAGGAACCUUACCCGGGCUUGAAUUGCAGAGGAAGGAUUUGGAGACAAUGACGCCCUUCGGGGUCUCUGUGAAGGUGCUGCAUGGUUGUCGUCAGCUCGUGCCGUGAGGUGUCGGCUUAAGUGCCAUAACGAGCGCAACCCCUCUCCUUAGUUGCCAUCAGGUUAAGCUGGGCACUCUGGGGACACUGCCACCGUAAGGUGUGAGGAAGGUGGGGAUGACGUCAAAUCAGCACGGCCCUUACGUCCGGGGCUACACACGUGUUACAAUGGCA